UACGGGGGGAGCAAGCGUUGUUCGGAUUUACUGGGCGUAAAGGGCGCGUAGGCGGUCGUGACAAGUCACUUGUGAAAUCUCCGGGCUUAACUCGGAACGGUCAAGUGAUACUGUCGGACUAGAGUACAGAAGGGGCAACUGGAAUUCCUGGUGUAGCGGUGAAAUGCGCAGAUAUCAGGAGGAACACCGGUGGCGAAGGCGGGUCUCUGGGCAACAACUGACGCUGAGGAGCGAAAGCGUGGGGAGCGAACAGG
rnacentral:rRNA from 1 species